UUGAAUUUUACAUGACAUGGUGUC
rnacentral:siRNA from 1 species